UACGAAGGGGGCUAGCGUUGCUCGGAUUGACUGGGCGUAAAGGGCGCGUAGGCGGUUUGCACAGUCAGACGUGAAAUUCCUGGGCUUAACCUGGGGGCUGCGUUUGAUACGUGCAGGCUUGAGUUCGGAAGAGGGUCGUGGAAUUCCCAGUGUAGAGGUGAAAUUCGUAGAUAUUGGGAAGAAACACCGGUGGCGAAGGCGGUUCUCUGGGCGAUGUCCU
rnacentral:rRNA from 1 species